GAGGAAUAUUGCGCAAUGGGGGAAACCCUGACGCAGCAACGCCGCGUGUGCGAAGAAGGCCUUCGGGUCGUAAACCACUUUUACUCGGGACGAAAAAUGGAUAUCGAAUAAAUAUCCCCGAUGACGGUACCGUGAGAAUAAGCCACGGCUAACUCUGUGCCAGCAGCCGCGGUAAGACAGAGGUGGCAAGCGUUGUUCGGAAUUACUGGGCGUAAAGAGUCUGUAGGUGGUUUGUCAAGUCUUUGGUGAAAGGCCGUAGCUUAACUAUGGGAAUGCCAAAGAGACUGGCAGGCUGGAGGCUGGGAGAGGGAAGCGGAAUUUCUGGUGUAGCGGUGAAAUGCGUAAAUAUCAGAAGGAAGGCCGGUGGCGAAGGCGGCUUCCUGGAACAGUCCUGACACUGAGAGACGAAAGCGUGGGGAGCAAACA
rnacentral:rRNA from 1 species